UACGUAGGGCGCAAGCGUUGUCCGGAAUUAUUGGGCGGAAAGAGCUCGUAGGCGGCUUGUCACGUCGGAUGCGAAAGCCCGGGGCUUAACCCCGGGUCUGCAUUCGAUACGGGCAGGCUAGAGUUCGGUAGGGGAGAUCGGAAUUCCUGGUGUAGCGGUGAAAUGCGCAGAUAUCAGGAGGAACACCGGUGGCGAAGGCGGAUCUCUGGGCCGAUACUGACGCUGAGGAGCGAAAGCGUGGGGAGCAAACAGG
rnacentral:rRNA from 1 species